rnacentral:rRNA from 1 species
AUUGAACGCUGGCGGCAGGCCUAACACAUGCAAGUCGAGCGGAUGAAGGGAGCUUGCUCCUGGAUUCAGCGGCGGACGGGGGAGUAAUGCCUAGGAAUCUGCCUGGUAGUGGGGGAUAACGUCCGGAAACGGGCGCUAAUACCGCAUACGUCCUGAGGGAGAAAGUGGGGGAUCUUCGGACCUCACGCUAUCAGAUGAGCCUAGGUCGGAUUAGCUAGUUGGUGGGGUAAAGGCCUACCAAGGCGACGAUCCGUAACUGGUCUGAGAGGAUGGUCAGUCACACUGGAACUGAGACGCGGUCCAGACUCCUACGGGAGGCAGCAGUGGGGAAUAUUAGACAAUGGGCGAAAGCCUGAUCCAGCCAUGCCGCGUGUGUGAAGAAGGUCUUCGGAUUGUAAAGCACUUUAAGUUGGGAGGAAGGGCAGUAAGUUAAUACCUUGCUGUUUUGACGUUACCAACAGAAUAAGCACCGGCUAACUUCGUG